rnacentral:rRNA from 1 species
GAUGAACGCUGGCGGCGUGCUUAACACAUGCAAGUCGAGCGAAAAGGCGCGGCUUUUGUGGGGUGCUCGAGUGGCGAACGGGGGAGUAACACGCGAGUAACAUACACUUGACUUUGGGGUAACUUCAGGAAACUGGGGCUAAUACCGGAUAGGAGCUCCUGCUGCACGGGGGGGGAUGGAAAGAUACGGCGGUGGGGGAUGGACUCGCGGCUUAUCAGCUGGAUGGGGGGGUAGUGGAUUACAAAGCCUGUGACGGGUAGCCGGCCUGGGAGGUUGACCGGCCACCAUGGUACUGCGGUACGGCCCAGACUCCUACGUGCGGCAGCAGUGGGGAACUUGGCGGAAUGGCGGCACGCGUGAUGCGGCGGCGCUGCGUUCGUGAUGACGUCCUUCUGGUUGUAAACCGCUGUGUCCUGUGACGUAGCGUGCGUGACGGUACCGGGUAAGGAAGCCCCGGCUAACUACGUG